GUGGACACAUUCAGUUCAGCACAUACACUAAAAUUGGAAUGAUGCAGAGAAGAUUAGCAUGGCCCCUGCCAAGGAUGACCUACAGGUUCAUGACGGUUCACUGUU